AACUGAAGAGUUUGAUCAUGGCUCAGAUUGAACGCUGGCGGCAGGCUUAACACAUGCAAGUCGAGCGGGGGAAGGUAGCUUGCUACUGGACCUAGCGGCGGACGGGUGAGUAAUGCUUAGGAAUCUGCCUAUUAGUGGGGGACAACAUCUCGAAAGGGAUGCUAAUACCGCAUACGUCCUACGGGAGAAAGCAGGGGAUCUUCGGACCUUGCGCUAAUAGAUGAGCCUAAGUCGGAUUAGCUAGUUGGUGGGGU
rnacentral:rRNA from 2 species